GCCCUCAAGGGCCUCAUCCUAGUGAAGCCUCCUCUUGGCCACCCUGCCAUGGCCACCAGGCUCCUCUGCUGUGUGGCCCUUUGUCUCCUGGGAAAAGAGUUUACAGAUGCUGGAGUCAUCCAGACACCCAGGCACAAGGUGACAAAGAUGGGACAAGAAGUAACCCUGAAAUGCCAGCCUAUUUCUGGUCAUGCAGCCCUUUACUGGUACAGUCAGACCUCAGUGCAGGGACCGAAGCUACUGAUCUACUUCAACAAUCAAUCUCCAAAAAUGACUCGGGGAUGCCCAAGGAACGGUUCUCAGCAGAGAUGUCUAAAAAAUCAUUAUCCACUCUGAAGAUCAAGCCCACAGAACCCCAGGACUCAGCCACAUACCUGUGUGCCAGCAGUGUAGACACAGAGCUGCAUAGUCACUCCUUCCCUGUACAGAAACCCUCAAGCUUCCCAUUCUCCCUCUAG